GGACGGGUGAGUAAUGUCUGGGAAACUGCCUGAUGGAGGGGGAUAACUACUGGAAACGGUAGCUAAUACCGCAUAAUGUCGCAAGACCAAAGAGGGGGACCUUCGGGCCUCUUGCCAUCGGAUGUGCCCAGAUGGGAUUAGCUAGUAGGUGGGGUAACGGCUCACCUAGGCGACGAUCCCUAGCUGGUCUGAGAGGAUGACCAGCCACACUGGAACUGAGACACGGUCCAGACUCCUACGGGAGGCAGCAGUGGGGAAUAUUGCACAAUGGGCGCAAGCCUGAUGCAGCCAUGCCGCGUGUAUGAAGAAGGCCUUCGGGUUGUAAAGUACUUUCAGCGGGGAGGAAGGGAGUAAAGUUAAUACCUUUACUCAUUGACGUUACCCGCAGAAGAAGCACCGGCUAACUCCGUGCCAGCAGCCGCGGUAAUACGGAGGGUGCAAGCGUUAAUCGGAAUUACUG
rnacentral:rRNA from 1 species